CGUAAAGUGUCGGUAAUUUAUUUGACGCAAUUAAAAUCAAGCUGAAGUUUAAAACAGUUUUAAGCACACUAAGAAAUGUUCGAAACGCACAGUCGGGACCGAGCCGCGAGUGACGUUAAACCUUAUAAGAGAAUCCGAACCGAGGAUGUGAAAUAUUAACAUAUAAAAAUACGUUCUGCCGUCAACCAUAAACGAAGAUUAUUCCACGUUUCGUGCCUUCAUACUGCGAAGAAACUAAUAAGAUGCUUAAAUCAUUCUGGCCGGUUUCGUCGAAAAUGCCGGAAUUAGUUGGAACUCCAUUAGUAUAUGUGGAAUUUAGAAAUGCGCAAGAUUGAUCAUAAAGGCUAUUUGCAAUUGGAAUCUCGUAACGAGUGUUCCGAGAUAUUGUAGUGCUCAUCUCGAGCUUACCAAAGCACUACAAGGCUGUCUGAAUCGGCUAACAUAACCCAGAGAAACACUUGUUUAAAUAAUGCAUCGUAGGAAGGAGCAUGUGCGUCGUUGUGGGUUCUUCGCAAUUCAACUGGAAAAAAACGCAGCCGGAGCUGGAGAUACGAUUUGUAGUGCUCUCGGUGAUAAUGCUGUAUCUCAUCCCACCUACAAAUAUUGUUAUAAGAGUCUCGUUUGGCUAAAAACUCGGUUCACACCGAAAAGAAAAUUGCAUCGCAAGCUAGAAGAAAGUAAAAAGGCAAGCCAUUUCUCAGCGUUCGCGAAAACUAGGGAAAAUUCGAAAGGAAACUAACGAAAAUUACGAAAUUAACGAAAUUAAUCGGAAUGAAGCAUCGUAGUUUCUUCGAGUCAUAGAAAAUAUGGGAAAUUACUUUACCAACUAAUUCUUUCGUAUACAAAUUUAAUUACACUCCGAACGACCCAACAGUUUCCCUUGGACUUUCGACGAUUUUCUUCGUUGGUUCGAAAAACUGUAUCUCACCGUGUAACAUAAUUCAGCCUGAAACACUGCGUUGGAAUGUCAGACAAGUCUGGCGUUAUGUAUUAGACAUCCUGGCACGUUUCUCUCGGACUUUACUCGGCUGUGGCGAUUCCAAUGCGAGCAGAGAAAAAGUAAGUAGCUGAACGAUGUCGGCUCGCCAAGUGGAUUUGCUGAUCUCGUUUCCAGCUGUUGGUAUUCCAGGAUUUACGAAGCAACGCGACGUAACGAGACCGGUUGACGAGGGCAAGAAGUUAACUGGCAGUGCGAUCUUAACGACGGCCAGUUUAUUAAAACUCGGAAAUACACACCGUCGGCAAUUAACGUCGCGCGUACAUAGCACCUUUCACGAUCGGCUUGUCAGGAGACCGCCGAUUACGUGUUCGGCUCUGCGCGUACCAGCGUCUAAGCAGGUCCUUUUUUCGCCCGGGAAAUGCAAGCGACGCAAUCUGCUGCGGCCAACGAAGCAGGCUAACUGUAAGGAUAAUGUUACCGCUUAAAAGUUAGCGAAUUUCAUUCGCCUCGCGCUGAAGAAAAAUAACGAUCAGCUAGAUUUCCGAUUUCAAGGGUCAAAUGUCGUUUCCUAGGCUUCUUUCGAAAGCCUGAAGCAUGAAUAGUCGAUUUCUGCACCGACAGCACAUUUUCAUGUUACGGGGUUUGAUCAAAACGUCCCUGGAAUUACUUCAAUUUACUUCAAGAGAUAUUACAGAGUUAAGAGAAAUUUUACUCGAAUUUCGGAUAAGAAAUAAGUAUUAACGAAUAAAAUUGUAUUCGACAUUGUCAAGUAAAUAUCCAGUGGAAUACAAAAUCUAAAUAACAAUUGAUCCGAAUCA